UAAGGUAUAUUGCUCAAUGGGAGAAAUCCUGAAGCAGCAACGCCGCGUGGAGGAUGAAGGGUCUAUGACUUGUAAACUCCUGUAAAGAAGGAAAAAAUUCCCAUUUGAUGGGAGAUGAUGGUACUUCUGGAGUAAGCCCCGGCUAACUACGUGCCAGCAGCCGCGGUAAUACGUAGGGGGCAAGCGUUGUCCGGAUUUACUGGGUGUAAAGGGUGCUCAGGCGGAUUUGUAAGUCAGAGGUGAAAUCUUACAGCUUAACUGUGAAACUGCCUUUGAUACUGCAAGCCUAGAGUAUGGAAGAGAGUGAUGGAAUAUCUGGUGUAGCAGUGAAAUGCGUAGAUAUCAGAUAGAACACCAAUGGCGAAGGCAGUCACUUGGUCCAUUACUGACGCUAAAGCAUGAAAGCGUGGGUAGCAAACA
rnacentral:rRNA from 1 species